rnacentral:rRNA from 1 species
GUCCACGCCGUAAACGAUGAAUGCUAGGUGUAGGGGCAAUAGCUUCUGUGCCGCAGCUAACGCAAUAAGCAUUCCACCUGGGGAGUACGGCCGCAAGGUUGAAACUCAAAGGAAUUGACGGGAGCCCGCACAAGCAGUGGAGUAUGUGGUUUAAUUCGACGCAACGCGAAGAACCUUACCAGGUCUUGACAUCCUAGGAACCCGGCGUAAUGGCUGGGGUGCCCUUCGGGGAAUCUAGAGACAGGUGGUGCAUGGUUGUCGU